rnacentral:rRNA from 1 species
GACGAACCGUGCGAACGUUAUUCGGAAUCACUGGGCUUAAAGGGCGCGUAGGCGGGCUCGCCAGUCAGGGGUGAAAUCCCACGGCCCAACCGUGGAAGUGCCUCUGAUACUGCGGGCCUCGAGGGAGGUAGGGGCGUGCGGAACUCAGGGUGGAGCGGUGAAAUGCGUAGAUAUCCUGAGGAACACCGGUGGCGAAAGCGGCGCGCUGGACCUCUUCUGACGCUGAGGCGCGAAAGCCAGGGGAGCAAACGGG